rnacentral:rRNA from 1 species
AGCUCCAUUAGCGUAUAUUAAUGUUGUUGCAGUUAAAAAGCUCGUAGUUGGAUUUGUGGCUCCUUUGUCUGUGCGUUGGCUUUGCCAAUGUUGCGGUACGAAGGUGCCUUUCAGGGGACUGUUUUCUUUGUGGCAUUAGGUUGUCGCAUUGAGUUCGCCCCUCGUUUACUGUGAGAAAAUUAGAGUGUUUCAAACAGGCUUAUGCCGUUGAAUAUGUUAGCAUGGAAUAAUGAUAUAGGACCUUGGUACUAUUUUGUUGGUUUGCGCACUGAGGUAAUGAUUAAUAGGGACAGUUGGGGGUAUUCGUAUUCCAUUGUCAGAGGUGAAAUUCUUGGAUUUUUGGAAGACGAACUACUGCGAAAGCAUUUACCAAGGAUGUUUUCAUUAAUCAAGAACGAAA